rnacentral:tRNA from 2 species
GGGCCUAUAGCUCAGUCGGUUAGAGCGCAUCGCUGAUAACGAUGAGGUCGCAAGUUCGAUUCUUGCUAGGCCCACAA